rnacentral:rRNA from 1 species
UACGUAGGGUGCAAGCGUUGUCCGGAAUUAUUGGGCGUAAAGAGCUCGUAGGCGGUUUGUCGCGUCUGCUGUGAAAAUCCAGGGCUUAACCCUGGACCUGCAGUGGGUACGGGCAGACUAGAGUGCGGUAGGGGAGAUCGGAAUUCCUGGUGUAGCGGUGAAAUGCGUAGAGAUCGGAAGGAACACCAGUGGCGAAGGCGACUGUCUGGGCAGAUACUGACGCUGAGGCGCGAGAGCGUGGGUAGCAAACAGG